AAGUAGACAGACUGAAGUGGAGAGGAAGGCGAACUCAACUAGGAGUGCUGGUGUCAAAGGGACAGGCCGACCACAGCAAGCUGACACCCGGUGGCUGUGGUUCCUUCCACCACAGCCCACUAUCAGAGGCUGAAGUGAGACGAUCGGACUUGGCCCAACCUUGUGGUAGCCAAGAUUCACCCCGGCCUUGCUGGCCACACCCCUUGCUCAGUCUACAAGGCAAGAGGUGUUCUGAACCACAGACACGGAUUACACACCAGAUUCCAACGCAAGGCUACAGUGACUAUCCUGGGAGCAGCUGGCAUACGAGGCUUUGAGCUUCAACUCUGGCCAUGUCUCCUGGCAAUUACCUCUACCUGGGACCCAAAGCAGUUUGCAUGACCACUAAAGGGUUAGCUGAUAGCUGUGAUUGGCCAUUGAGAAGAGGGAGGAGUAAUGACUUCAAUGACCCCAGAAGAUUCCAGAGCAGAGAACAGCAGCAGUCUGGCUUUGUUCUUUGGUACCAAGUGCCCCCGUCAACCACUGCAGUAAGUACUCGUCUGCCUUUGGGCCCUAUUAGCCCACACAGUAAACCCCGCUGGAAAGUAGGGCUGAGCUGUGAGUGCUAUUGGUACUGUCUCCAUUCUAUGCUGGUUCUUUUAGACUUUGUGUUUCUAUGGGGUCUACUCGUUGGUUUCCACUUUGAUUUCUCCAAUAUUGAAGAUAUAUUAUAUUGGCUUCUCUCCAGCUCUCAGAAUGCUCUCUUCUUUAGUUCUAUUCCUAUGAUCACUUGCUGUCCACUUGGCCAGCUACCCAUAUUGUCAUGA
rnacentral:lncRNA from 1 species